AGUCAAGGAGAGAAUCCUGAGGUGCUCGAGUGAGUCAUGGCUAAGGAACUAGGCAAAUUAAACCUGUAACUUCGGGAAAAGGGUUGCCUCUCUUUAGCAAUAAAGAAGGCCGCAGAGAAAUGGCCCAGGCGACUGUUUAACAAAAACACAUGGCUAUGCGAAAUCGUAAGAUGAAGUAUAUGGCCUGACACCUGCCCGGUGCUGGAAGGUCAAGGGGGGAAGUUAGUCGCAAGGCGAAGCCUUGAACUGAAGCCCCAGUAAACGGCGGCCGUAACUAUAACGGUCCUAAGGUAGCGAAAUUCCUUGUCGGGUAAGUUCCGACCUGCACGAAUGUGUAACGAUCUGGGCGCUGUCUCAGCCAUGAGCUCGGUGAAAUUGUAGUCACGGUGAAGAUGCCGUGUACCCGUCACGGGACGGAAAGACCCCAUGCACCUUUACUAUAGCUUCGCAUUGACAUUGGGUAGAUGAUGUGUAGGAUAGGUGGGAGGCGUUGAUCCUGUGCCGCUAGGUAUAGGGGAGCCAACGGUGAAAUACCACCCCUUAUUUAUCUGAUGUCUAAUCCGCAAGACCUGCGGAGACAGUGCGUGGUGGGUAGUUUGACUGGGGUGGUCGCCUCCGAAAGUGUAUCGGAGGCUUUCAAAGGUAUGCUCAAUACGCUUGGUAACCGUAUGUGGAGUGCAAUAGCAUAAGCAUGCUUGACUGUGAGACUGACAAGUCGAGCAGGGUCGAAAGACGGAUAUAGUGAUCCGGUGGUUCUGUAUGGAAGGGCCAUCGCUCAAAGGAUAAAAGGUACGCUGGGAUAACAGGCUGAUCUCCCCCAAGAGCUCACAUCGACGGGGAGGUUUGGCACCCCGAUGUCGGCUCGUCACAUCCUGGGGCUGGAGAAGGUCCCAAGGGUUAGGCUGUUCGCCUAUUAAAGUGGCACGCGAGCUGGGUUCAGAACGUCGUGAGACAGUUCGGUCCCUAUCUGUGAUGGGCGUAGGAAGUUUGAGAGGAUCUGACCUUAGUACGAGAGGACCGGGUUGGACCAACCGCUGGUGUACCGGUUGCGGCGUCAGCUGCAUCGCCGGGUAGCUACGUUGGGACGAGAUAAGCGCUGAAAGCAUCUAAGCGCGAAACUCACCUCAAGAUGAGACUUCCAUUAAGGGACGUCAGAGACUAUGACGUUGAUAGGCUGCAGGUGUAAAGGCAGAAAUGUCAAAGCUGAGCAGUACUAAUUACCCU
rnacentral:rRNA from 1 species